rnacentral:rRNA from 1 species
GCAAGUCGAGCGGAAACGAAGAGUAGCUUGCUACUCUGGCGUCGAGCGGCGGACGGGUGAGUAAUGCUUGGGAAUAUGCCUUUGAGUGGGGGACAACAGUUGGAAACGACUGCUAAUACCGCAUAAUGUCUACGGACCAAAGGGGGGGAUUCUUCGGAACCUCUCGCUCAUAGAUUAGCCCAAGUGAGAUUAGCUAGUUGGUAAGGUAAAGGCUUACCAAGGCGACGAUCUCUAGCUGGUUUGAGAGGAUGAUCAGCCACACUGGGACUGAGACACGGCCCAGACUCCUACGGGAGGCAGCAGUGGGGAAUAUUGCACAAUGGGGGAAACCCUGAUGCAGCCAUGCCGCGUGUGUGAAGAAGGCCUUCGGGUUGUAAAGCACUUUCAGUUGUGAGGAAAGGUUAGUAGUUAAUAACUGCUAGCUGUGACGUUAGCAACAGAAGAAGCACCGGCUAACUCCGUGCCAGCAGCCGCGGUAAUACGGAGGGUGCGAGCGUUAAUCGG